CAGCAGCCACGGUAAAACGGAGGGGGCUAGCGUUGUUCGGAAUUACUGGGCGUAAAGCGCACGUAGGCGGCUUGGUAAGUUAGAGGUGAAAGCCUGGAGCUCAACUCCAGAAUUGCCUUUAAGACUGCCGAGCUAGCAGGUGAGAGAGGUAAGUGGAAUUCCGAGUGUAGAGGUGAAAUUCGUAGAUAUUCGGAAGAACACCAGUGGCGAAGGCGGCUUACUGGCUCAUACUGGACGCUGAGGUGCGAAAGCGCGGGGAGCAAACAGGAUUAGAUACCCCCGUAGUCCCUGUCUCUUAUAC
rnacentral:rRNA from 1 species